AAGCUAGAUGCAGAUUAAGUUCUGAAUUUACAUACAAUCAGGCAGAAAACCAUAGGCCUAGCAUUAAAGGAUGUUAUUUCCAAUGAAGGAGGAAAUCUCUUCCACUCAGAGGAGCCUUGACUGUAAAGAUCAGGAGAGAAGGUGUGCUUCUCUACAGAAAAAGAGCAUGUGGGAACCUUUCAUUUGAAAACAUCUGACCAGCUGCAUUAGAGGUGAACAGAAACUUGAGGCUCUCUAGGCCCUAUACUUCUUAACUGGAACAGAAUGUGGAGGGAACUAUCCUGUAUCCUGUUGGUUGUGCUACAUCUCUUCCUGGAGGGAAUUAGCUGCCACAAUCCAGUAUUCCUAUUGUUUACCAGCUCUCACCUUGGAAUUUUGGAACCAAGUUUGCAGGCUUCUUCACUAAAAGCAGCAGCUGCAGUUCUGCAGUGGUAGCAGCAUCCAGCACACACUACAGUAUCACUACAGAGUGAAGUGUAAGGUAGUGCUCUCUGCACCUCUGAAGCUGUCUGGAAGAGGCAACAACUCUUUCUCAUAGCAAAGAGCAUGUAUACCUAACAUCUGAGUUCUUGCCUAAUGAUCCCUUCUCUUUCCCACAUGACUUUCUGUCUUCAUUUUCAGCUCUUCUCUGUUCUCAUUUUCUUCCCAUUUCCCAUUUCAUUAAAUUUAGGUAAGAAAAGAGAGAGAACACUCUGAUUUUGAUAUUGUAUCAAAAUGCUUAAAAAGAUUUUCCACGAUGAAUUAAUUAGAAUGAAUAUAGGCAAGUUACUUAAUCUCACUGUAUUUCAGAUCUUGAUAAAAUAAUGAUAAGAUUCUUUUUUUUCUAUCUGUUUUGACAGUAUAUUUUCCAUAUAUAAUGUAGAUUCUCUCUAUUUCAAUCCCAGUUACUCUGGUUAGAAAACCAUGGCUAGCAAAGUAUGGUCACUGAUGCUUCAUAUUUUGUUCUUAUUUUGUUUUGCGCUUUUACAUAUGAUUAAAUUGCAUUAAUAAUGAAAUCGUCACUGCAAAUGUAAACGUAUGUUAAAGAACAUAGACACCUUCUUCACUACUUGGAGAUUUGUCUUAACAUUCUAUCUUUCCAGACAUUCUCUGCAUCAUCUAUCUCAAAUUCUUCCUGUCUCUGUUAAGCUUUUCUCUUCAGUCAACCAGCAUUUUCCUCUGCCUCUUCGUCUUUCUUCUCCCCUUACAUAAGCAUAUCCUUUUUUUUUCUAUUAUAUCACUUUGCUUGUCUUCCUAUCACUGUUAAUAAAUUUUCUUAUCAACAACCUCUAAUUUUCUUGGGCAUCAGUAAACAUAAAAGUAUACCAAUUGUAGUCAAUGAAGGUUCAUCCCAAUAAAAUUUAAGAGAAAUUGAAAUCCUUUUGAAGACUUCAGAAUAUUACCAGAGGAGACCAUGAGAAUUUUUUAAAUGGAUGUGUCAGCAAGUUUUGUGAUGGUAUUAAUAGAGUUGACAGCAUUACUUGCUGUCUCCUAAUUUAAAAGAUAUAUGACAAAAUGGGGUGGGAAUGAUAUUCCCCAGUUCUAUCACUCUUUUGUGCAGCAAAGGACACAACAUCACAGCAUAAAUCCUCUAGAACAUAAUGUUCCUGUCCAUUGAUGCUUUCACAAACUAAUAAUCUCACCUGUGAACCAACAUGAUAAACUCUAUUAAAAGUUUCUGCCACAUUUUCUGGAUCUCCUCCUUUCUCAAUACCAACAUAAAUAUUUUAUGUGUUUUUCUGCAAAAAAAAAAAGCUGAUCAGAAAGAACAUCGAAUUCUUCACCAGACUUCUGAC